GUCAAAAAUAAAAAAAAAUAUAUCGAAUCGAAUCGCUGUAGAAAAUUACUAAAAAUCACUAAAUAAACAGUAGUGAGAAUUAAAUUAAAUAGCAGACUAGAACAAUGGAUCCAAAACGGAAGCUAUCAACUUCGGGUGAUACGUUGUACGAGACGCUAGGAUUGCCAAAGACAGCCACUCCCGAUGACGUGAAGAAGACAUACAGAAAACUAGCCCUCAAAUAUCAUCCAGACAAGAACCCCGAUAAUCCAGAAGCGGCAGAAAAAUUCAAAGAAGUCAAUCGAGCACAUUCCAUUUUGAGUGAUCAGACAAAACGAAAUAUCUAUGACAAUUAUGGGUCGCUGGGCUUGUACAUUGCCGAACAAUUUGGCGAAGAAAACGUCAAUGCGUACUUUGUCGUCACCUCGCCCGCGUGCAAAGCAGCAUUCCUCGUUUGUUGCGUCGCUACCGGUUGUUUUUGUUGUUUCUGUUGUUGUUGCUGCUGCAACUUCUGCUUCGGCAAAUACAAACCUCAGCAUCCUGGCCAUCCAGAUAGCGGCGAUUACGAAGGACUCAAGAGAGAUGACGCCAGUAGUAGUAAUCUCAAUGAUGGGCCCGUCACAAGUCAACCAUCACGGAGGGAGGACUUUUCCGAUUUGGAUGACGUAACGGGCGGCAAUCCGAUCACGGGACAACCUACUGCGGGACAAGCAGGCGGCCAAAUGCCAGUUUUCGCAAUGCCCCCUCCCAAUCAAUCAGCAAAUCCCUUGAAUCCGUUCACGGGAGCUGCCGCCGCCACGGAAAGUACGGGCUUGAAUCAAGGAGGACAACCAACUUACACGCCUGGUUAUUAAACCUUUAAAUUAAAUUUAAAGUUCAAACAGGAAAGAAGUUUGUUCGUGUUUCACAAGUUCGUUUCAAAAAAAAAAAUGUCAGAACAAAUAUUUGACUUGAAAUUAAUUAAAAAAAAAUUAUAAAAAAAAUAAAACGCCGACCUCAAUAUAUUCCUUCUUUCUAAAUAUUAACUUAUACAUAUUAAUCACGUCUCUUUGGAUUGAUUGCUGACAUUUAAAAAUUAAAAAAAAAUAGUUAAGGAACAUUUUCGUUGUUCGUAAAUAUAAAAAAAAAAUAGUUCGUAAAACGGAAUUCGUCGAAAUAAUAUUAAAGGUAUGACAAAUUAUUAAAAAAGUAAAUAAAAUCCAGGAUCAAAGUUGCUAGGAAGACCGAUUUUGAACAUAAAUUGACACCGUUCGUUUGUUUCUACUAUAGGAAUUCAUCCAAAUGCAUGAAUAAUAUAUAAAUUUAUGUGAAAAUUCUUUUUUUGGAAGCCAAACAUUUAAUUAUAAGUGUUAAUUAUAAAAAUUUAAUCAUUUUGUAGUUUCUUUUCUCCUAAUAAUUAUUAUUAUUAUAUAUCAUUACCACAUUUUUAUUGAAAAAAAAAAUCCAUUUCAAGGCCCUCAGUAUUAAUAUUUGCCUUGCGAUUUGACUUGAUUUUUUUUUAUUUAGGAAAAUUUAAAUAAAAAAUUGUUUUAAAAUUAAAUUAUUAAAAAUUGUCACAAAAAAUAAUCACAAUUAUAUGAAUGUAUAUGUAAUAAAAGUAAAAUUAAUAAAAAAAAAACCUGAAAAAUGAAGAAGAUAAAUAAUAAUA